AACGAACGCUGGCGGCAUGCCUAACACAUGCAAGUCGAACGAAGGCUUCGGCCUUAGUGGCGCACGGGUGAGUAACGCGUGGGAACCUGCCUCUUGGUACGGAAUAACGUCGGGAAACUGACGCUAAUACCGUAUAUGUCUGCGGAUGAAAGAUUUAUCGCCGAGAGAGGGGCCCGCGUCUGAUUAGCUAGUUGGGGAGGUAACGGCUCACCAAGGCGACGAUCAGUAGCUGGUCUGAGAGGAUGAUCAGCCACACUGGGACUGAGACACGGCCCAGACUCCUACGGGAGGCAGCAGUGGGGAAUAUUGGACAAUGGGGGCAACCCUGAUCCAGCAAUGCCGCGUGAGUGAUGAAGGCCUUCGGGUUGUAAAGCUCUUUUGCCAGGGACGAUGAUGACGGUACCUGGAGAAUAAGCACCGGCUAACUACGUGCCAGCCGCCGCAGUAAAAC
rnacentral:rRNA from 1 species